AUAUGUGUUCACAUGAGAAGGGUGUAUGACUGGCUCAGUGUGCAUCGGGAAGGGAGACAUGUGUAUGUGUGUGCAUAGGAGAGGUGUGUCUAUACGUAGGGGAGGGGACCUGGGUUGUAGCUCUGUGUAUGGAAGAUGUGUUUGUGUAUCAAUAGAACGCUUGAUCCCAAGGGAUCUGAGAGAAGUCCAGAGACCUGGUUUCUAGUCCAGCUUUGAUUCUAACUUGCCCGGUGACCUUGGGCAAGUCCAUUCCCGGUGCCCCGUACUUCACCUAUAAAGCGAGAAAUUUGGACUCCAGGAUUCUGAUUCGGUUUGCCAGGCAAAUCCAUGGUGAAUUGUACUAUGAGGAGCUAAAUGGAGUUAAGUCUACCUGUCGGUGUAUAUACUGGAGCCAGGAACUUAACAUGUGGCUGCCAGUAGUCACACCUAUGUGCUCAUUUUUCACGUGAUGACCAACAAUGAUUCCAUGACCUUUUCAGCAGCAAAGGACAAACUGGUAUUAGAGCACCAGUACAUGUACGGACAUAGCAUCUCACAGAGCUACAGAUUUCUAUAUCCCCACGUGUGUAACAUGGGGGGAUACAUGGACACAUAGAUUCAGAGGCUCCAGGCUCAAGUGUAGAGGCAGCCUAGACAGCUACUGGAUUCAAUCCCUUAUGAGCUAGGGAGAUCUCAAACUAGUUGGGAGCCCAGUGGAGACAGACUUGGGGAGGGGAGUAGAAAAGCCUGCCUUAAAGAAGGGCUUUAGGAAUAGCAGAGUCCAAGGACCCAUUCCCGGCCCCAGGUGGCUCUGCCUUUCUGGCUCCCAAGAACCUAGAGAUGGCACUCUAGUUAUCCCUAGAGGCAGUCUAAUAUGGUGGAUAAAAUGCUGGUAAAGUUCAGAAUGCCAGGGUUCGAGUACCUAGAAACAGUAUGACAUAGUGGAAGUUGUCGGACUUUCAAUCCAAAAGACCUGAUUUGUAUUUCAGCUCACUUGUUAACUUUGUGACUGUGAAUAAAUCAUUUAAUCUCUCUUGACCUCAGUGCCAUAUCUACCCAAUGAAGAGAUUGGACUAGAUUGCCUCCAAGUCCUUCCAACUCUAGAACUGUUAUGAACAAAAGAAAAGCAAGAUGGCAUCUUCUCUCUUAGAUCAUGAGACUCUGAGCAAGCCACAACUUUGCAUCAUCUGAAAAUCUGAAGGCAUCCUGGACAAGUGCACUGGAUUCAGAAUCACAAUUCCUGACUUUAAUUCCUGACUUUGUCCUUUAUUAUUACAGAUACAGAUUAUAUGACUCUGGGCAAGUCAUAUUUUUGGGAGAGCUUCAGAUAUUUGUGUCUAAAAUGGAAGAACUAAACAAGAUCGCCUCUAAAGAUUCUUUCCAAAAUUUCUGAUCAUAUGAUGGAAGGGACAUUAGGGGCCAUCUACACUUUCCCAUAAACUGAAUAUGAGCCUUCUCCCAUUUUCCUUUUAAUCUCUAAAUCUGGAUCCUGGAUCCAUAGCAAGCCUCAGACUGAUACAAUGCUUAAAGGAGAAACCCAUCACAAUGUUUAGGGAUAUCCAAUUUUGUUCAUUUCUACUUGACUCUUGGUUAAAGUCCAGAUAACCUUAUAAAGCAGAUAUUGAUGUCCCUUUUGGAUACAGGAUUGUGGGCCAGGAAUGACUUUUUUGUCUGGAUGCCUUUCCCUAUUUCAUUUUUCCUGAACCUAGAUUGUGCGGAAUAUCUAUGGAAAGAGCUUUGAGAGUUUCUAAAGGGAGGGCUUAUCCUGUCCAGGGAAAGCAUCAAAUCCUGAGCACUAAAUUACCAGGGAAGCUACUCCAUAGGUAGUUUGCCUGUCGUUAAUAUACAUUAAUGUUACAGUGGGAAAAAGUGCUGGAUUUGAUCAAAGUCCGUGGGUCUGAUUCUUGCCUCUGCCAAAUACUAUUUGUAUAAGCCAAGGCAAGAUAGGUAAGCUCCUAGAGCCUCAGUUUCCUCAUCUGUAAAUUGAAAGGGAUAGUUUAGGUGACCCCCAAGACCCCUGUUAGCUUUAUAACUAUGAUUGAACAUUGAAAAAAACAGAGCCACAGGAAAAUAGUGGUAACAUACUAUCAGAGCCCUACUUCUAUGAGGGUUAACACUAAUUCACUAGGCAAUACUCCUUGAAACCUAUUCAACCCACUGAUAUUCUCAAUAACCAUGUACAUCCAACUUUGAUACUUUCUAUUCAUCCACAAGGAUACUAUGAAACAGCCAAAUGCUUCCUAAAAAACCAAAUGCUAGUCUACUUCGUUCUCCAGCUCUCCCAAGCUAGUAUCUAUCAAAAAAGGAAAUUAGAUCAGUUGCACGAUGUGGUCCAAAUGAAUCUGUGCUGGCUCCUAAUGAUCAUUGCUUGCCUUAACGAGGUUAUCAAAUGUGUACUGCACUGCCUACAAUAGACAGAAGCCAUCUUCUUUCCUCCUUCUGAAUAUCAAUAUGACUAUGAAAUGGAGGCCCAUCUCUAAUCUUCUGGUGAUUCUCCCAUUCACAAUUCCAAUUUUACUGGCAAUGGCUCAGCAAUCACAUCAGCAGAUUUUUGGAUUUUAAAGCAGCUAAGAGCUCUCACAACCAUCUCCCUUAUCUAGGACUUUAAUUCCUGGUUUACUGUGUUUGUCUUACUCUUCUCAGUCUGAGAUAAGUCUCCUAGUUAGAAAAGAUGGAAGAACAAUAGAAUCCUUAGCUUCCUUCCAGGUUUAAUUCAAAUGUCAGCUCCUACCCAGUCUUCUCUGCUUCUAAACGUUGGUGCUCUCUCCUUAUGCAAAAAUAAUCUGUUUAUUUUUUUCUAUUUACAGGUUGUAAACUUCUGGAGAAUGUAACCUUUUUUGAGAAUAGUGAUUGUUUUUCAUCAUUUUUGCAUGAGAACAUCAUGAAUUUAGACCUCAGAGACUCUCUAGUCCAACCUCUUCAUUUUACAAACGAGUAAACUGAGGCACAGAAGUGACUUGCCCAGUCAUAUGGAUAAUAAUGCACAUAGUAACCAUAUAAAUGCUUAAGUCACUUAAAUGUUUGUCUCAGUUUCCUCAACUGUAAAAUGGAGGGUAUUGUGAGAAGUUAAAGAAUUUAGCCCACUGCCUGGUACCCAGUAGAUGUCUAAUAAAAGCUUAUUUCCUUUUUUCAUCUAUUGAAUUCUAGAUGCUGCUAAGCUGGAGGAGGUCCCUUAUACUAAAGAAAUCAUAACUUCCCUUCUAUUCCUUCAGUUCAAUUCAGCUAAAUAGUUGAUUGUCCUCUUUCACUUGUUAACAUUAGGCCAUCGCUCCAAGAAGUGGCUUUUAUUUCCUUAUUGCUCCCACCACGAUUCUUGGUGUGUUCAGCAAUAAGCUUCCACCCAUCUUCAUGACAGUAUUUGUAUAGAAAUGCUCCAGACUUUUGUGUUCUCCUCAGUUACCUGUGCUCACUUCUAUCCCUUGUACAUACUGGUUUAAAGUUAACAAGAACUCCCAGAAGAGCCCCAUUAAUGUCUUUAGAUCAUUCUCUUUUCUUUUUCGCAGAAUUGUUGACACAAUCCUGUGUCAACAGAAUUUCAUUCUUGGAGAACAUCCCAUCCCUCCUCUUCUGUGUGUACUCCAAAAGUGACAUCACCUGUUUUCUUGAACCUCACCUGCAUUCGCUCCACUGCAUUUCUCCCAGUAGGUUUGUAAAUUUCCACAUGGGUGUCAAUCCUGAUAUACAGUACUAUUCCAAAGCACCCUCAGUUAAAUGUUUCUUCCUAAUAACGUACCCCCGUUUCACCAUACUCCAGACUAAUGAGUCCAUUCCAUCAAGAUUUGGGGAUACUGAUAAAAUUAUUUAUAUUUUACAAUAUUUUUUAUUAUAUUUUGUGCUAAAUCUCUUUUCCAUUAAAGUUCUCCCUCUGGUACCUGGUCAAGAAGUAGGAAUGCCAAUUCCUGAAGGCUGGGGUCAUGCUCCACAAGUUUUAAUAGUUCCUACCAAGAUAAAAAUGCCUUCAGUCUUAGCUAUUCUCACCAAGACAAUUCCAAGGGAUUUAUGAUGAAAAGACGCUAUCUGCCGCCAGACAAAGAUCUGAUGGACUAUGUGAAUGCAGAUUGAAGCAGACUUUUUUAACCUUUUUUUUCCCCCUUUUGGUCUAGGUUCCCUUUUGCAACAUGAUUAAUAUGAAAAUAUUCUGCAUGACUAUAUGCAUAUAGACACAUACAUUUAUGCCAUAUAGAUCACACACACACACACAGAGCUAUCUCCAUAUUUCUAUCUAGACAUAAUCAGGCAGAUAAUGGCAUCUUUUGACCAAGGUAACCCAUGAAAUGAUUUUCCAAGGUACAGUGGGUUAUGAGAGAUGGAUGACGGUAGCGUUCAUGCUGAUUAAAUCAUCAAUCUUUUGAUAUGUGGAAUCUUCCUAACUAGAAUCCUUAAGAAGAUAUACAUAAGCCUUGUUCUCAACUCUCUGAAUUAUUUCCCCGUAAGGCGCCUUGUCCAUUUCCAAUUUUCUUCCCAUGCCCCAUCUAGUAUCCUUCACAGGAAUCAUACUUUUACCUGAAUAUUGACAAGUUUCCAGCCAAACACAUUCUUAGAUAGGAAGAGCCCAUCAUUCGAGUACCCCAAGCCAUAUCCAGAAAAUCUAAUUUGCCACCACACACACAUCUGCUCAUUCGUUUAUAUGUGUGUGUAUGCGCAUGCAUGUGUGUGUAUGUAUUCAUACAUAUUAUUUGCCAUCACAUAUAGACAAUAUUGAUAUGAAGAGGUAGAUAGAUAAUCUCCAGUGCUUCAAUUCCUGUGUCUUUCUUUUCCUUCCAAAGUCCCAACUUUUACCUGGUAGAAGAGAAAUUCUACAAAUGUUUUUAAAAAUAUUUUGAUUUCUUGUCUGGGACUUUAAAGUCCCUAAAGAUACAUUCCAGAGAAAGAACAAAGAGCCCUCUGGAGGGGCGGAACUGGGUUGGGGGGGGAGUGAUUUAGCCUGAAGCAAACUCAGGGGAGAGGCCUGCUAUUCCACGUCUGAAGGAACGUCAUGUGAAAGAAGAUAAGAUUGGCUGUAGAGGGCACAGCUAGAGCACCAGGUAGAAGUCAUUAGGGGGAAGGGAAAGCUCCUUAAGGUGACCGUAAGAGGCAGCGUGUUCCUCACAGGUCUUCAAAGUAUGAUGACCAUUUGUGAGCAUGCUGUAAAGAGAAUUCUUGCCCAGGGAUGAUAUGGCCCUUCCCACUUCAACUUGCUAUGGGGCCCCUGGACUGUGAGGGACAAGGGCUGGCCAGCCAAGGAGGAAGGACACCUAGGUCCUAGCAGGUGGAACUGGGCUAGACCAGCCAGGCAAAACCUGCUAGAUCAUCCCACUCCCCUCUGACCUGGGUUUCCUGUGGCCUCUCCCUGGCUCCCCUUUCUUCGACUGUCUCUCCAGUCUUUCCUCAUUCUCUCAAUUCCUAAGCAUUUCUGCAGGGUGCUACCCUCAGGCUUCUUUAUUUCUCUCUCAACACUUUCUCCCUCAGUGAUUUCAUCCACUCUCAUGGCUUCAACUAUCACUCCUACCCAGAUGCUGGCCAAAUCUGUCUCACUCACCCUACUUCUCUGCCCUCUGUUCUGCCUGACAGACACGGGGGCAUCCCCUGAUACAACAGAUGCAGCAGGUUCAAAACCACAUUUACCCUCCAUGAUAAACGUGGUCACUUCCCUCUUUAUUCUGUUUAUUGCACCAUCCUCUUGGCUACCCAGACCUGAAACUUCAGGGCUCGAGCCCUCCUUUCUCACUUCCCACAAUCAAGCUUUUGCCAAGUCCACUGAUUCUAUCUCUGCAGUAUCUUUUCCAUCCUUCCUCUCCAUUCCCACGGCCCCCACCCUAAUUCAGAAUCUCCUUACCUCUCCCCUGGACUAUUACAAUAGACUCACCUGGUCUCCCUGACUCCAUUCUCCCUGCUCAGGCCCAUCCUUCACACUGAUGCCAGAAUAAUCUUCCUAUUAACGCACAGGCUUAAUUACGUCUUGCCUGUAAUAACAGCAAGAACACACAUUUCCAUGGCGCUUUGUAGCUUACAAAGGGCUUUCUGCACAACAGUGCUGGAGCGUGAUAAUGAAUCAUGUUCUUCCCUCAUUUUACAGGUGAGGAAACAGAGGCACAAUGAGUUUGAGUAACUUGCCCAGGGUCCCACACUCACUCAAAGCCGAGUCUCUGCUUUCUAGGUCCAGCCUCUUCCAGUACUACAGAGUCUCUUGAACAAGACUCUCAUUUGGGAACACUGCAGAUGACCCGUGCCAUUUUAAAAAAUGAGCCAGGAUGCAUGAGUGUGGCAAGUGAGGAACUCCUUCUACCAAAGUGGGAAGGCAAGCAUUUAUUAAAAACCUACUCUGACCCAGGCACAGAAAUUCAACAUAAAGACAAGACAAGGAAGAUGUACAUGAAGGUCAGCACCUUGUCUACAAAUUAACUGUCUUAGCUGCCUGGCAUUCUCGAGGACAAGCGACCUGCAGAGCCAUCAUAUGCCCGGGACCCCAAUCUGGCCGGCUCUCUGGCUACUGUGCCAACCUGCCUCUCACCAUGUGAAUUAAGUUCUAUUAUUCUGAUUUUUUUCCCUAAACGAUGGAAAGCGUCUCAUCGACCGCCUAACUUUCCUUGCCUGUCUUGCUCAGGGGGAUGAGGGAGAUAGAUAGUGAUUAGAUUGUAGAAGAAUGUGGGCAGAAAGCCCCCAAGCCAGCUGCUUCUAUCAGGAGGCUUCCUGAUUGGCUAAGUGGCUCCAGAGCUGGGCCUGGAUGUUGCAGUUCAGGUGGGUGAAUCCCCACUUGGAGUGUGGAAUAUCUGGGGGUGGCAAACACCGUUCUCUGAAAGGCGACCAGAGAAUCCAGGUUUAGAGAAAACCAGAGAUUACACUAGGCUUGGAGAACUUGAGCUAGAUAGAAUAGAUAGGAAAGUUUCGGGCACCACCCAGGCUGGAAGUAGGUCAUUUUCCUUGAUGUACAUUCCUCAUCACCCUGUGCCAGUGUCUUCUUUCUGAAUCUGUAUAUUGGCUAACGCCCCUUGUAAGUAAAUCUUCACAAGAAACAAA